CAACCGAUUUUGUACAGUGAAACUGCGAAUGGUUCAUUACAACAGUUAUAGUUUAUUUGAUCGUGCGGUACUACGUGGACAACCGUAGGAAAUCUAGAGCUAAUACAUGCACCAUCGUCUUAUGGGGAUAUUUUCGGAUUGAUUUUUUAAGGCGGGAUUUAUUAGAUCAAAAACCGAUCGCUUUUUUUUUUUUUUAAGGCGUGGCGGGGUGAAUCAUAAUAACUUUUCCAAAUCGCAAGGCUGCGAUAAGGCCGGCGAUAAAUCAUUCAAAUUUCUGCCCUAUCAACUUUCGAUGGCAGGGUAGUGGCCUACCAUGGUGUUGACGGGUAACGGAGAAUUAGGGUUCGAUUCCGGAGAGGGAGCCUGAGAAAUGGCUACCACAUCCAAGGAAGGCAGCAGGCGCGCAAAUUACCCAAUCCUGAUUCAGGGAGGUAGCGACAAGAAAUAACGAUAAUAGGCUUUAUGAGUCUAUUUAUUGGAAUGAGGAUAAUUUACACCCCUUCACGAGGAUCC
rnacentral:rRNA from 1 species